rnacentral:rRNA from 1 species
CGCGAUUCGCCCUUCGGGGUGCAGCAGGCGCGAAAACUCUACAAUGCAGGCAACUGCGAUAGGGGAACGUCGAGUGAUCCUCAUAUUGGGGGUCUGUCCACCCGCCUAAAAAGCGGGUGUUAGCAAGGGCCGGGCAAGACCGGUGCCAGCCGCCGCGGUAAUACCGGCGGCUCGAGUGGUGGCCGAUAUUAUUGAGUCUAAAGGGUCCGUAGCCGGCUUUGCAAGUCUCUCGGGAAAUCCAGCGGCUUAACCGUUGGUCGUCCGGGGGGUACUACAUUGCUUGGGACUGGGAGAGGUAGGAGGUACUCAGGGGGUAGGAGUGAAAUCCUGUAAUCCUUUGGGGACCACCGGUGGCGAAGGCGUCCUACCAGAACAGGUCCGACGGUGAGGGACGAAAGCUAGGGGCACGAACCGGAUUAGAUACCCGGGUAGUCCUAGCCGUAAACGAUGCUCGCUAGGUGUCACAACAGUCGUGAACUGUUGUGGUGCCGUAGGGAAGCCGUGAAGCGAGCCACUUGGGAAGUACGACCGCAAGGUUGAAACUUAAAGGAAUUGGCGGGGGAGCAC